AUGCAAUCGCCAGCACAGAGACCUCCUGUACCAUGCCCCACCCCUUGCCCCGCCUCGCCCCGCCUCCAUUGGCCGUCCCUCGGCGGCGCCGGUUGCCGAUUGGGGCGCGGCGGCCGCCAGUCACGGUGCGGCGCGGCUGGCAUGCGGGCUGCGCGCCCUGUGCCGCGCGGAUCUGACCUACUAACACACAUCCCUCCGCGCCGCCGCAGCUGUUGCACGCUCUCGUUCGCCUCGCGUACGGGCAAGCGGGGCGACGCUGCCUGCGGCACAGCACGGCACAGCACGGCACAGCACAGCACUCCACUGCACUCCACUGCACUCCAAUCUCGCCUCGCCUCGCCGGAUGCUUGGUGCCCUGCCGAGCACUCAAGUUUUUGCCACAGAGACGGGUUAACUGCUGUGAAGCAAGUACAGGUGCCAGUGCUGCAAGAUCUCCUCUUUGGAGUGGUACACAACUAUAAAGAAAAAGGAACUUGGUGCAGGCGGUGUUACUCUUCAAACCUGACCUGACUUGUGGCAUUGGAGCUCUGAAGGUUGCUAUUUCUCUGUUCCAUUUGCAGUGAGUGGUAGAUAUCAGCAUUUUACAAAUCGUGUUUAUUUAACAUGUUUGCACUUCAGUUAUAUAGUGCAAUACAUAUUUAGAGUACCCGCUGGGAUUAAUUGACAUAAUUCUGCUGCUUUUAAAUAGCACUGUGUAAAUUUAGGUCAGCCAAAGGUCUGAUCCAUGCUUGGCAUUUUAAGAAUACUGUUCAAGUGAUAAGAGCCAUUUAUUGCCAGAAUAAUUAAUGAGUGAUUUUCUAUUUUCUAACGGUUCUUAAUUAGGAGAACACAGUUCUUAUUCCCAGAGCACUGGUACUCUUAAGUGAUUGCUUUGCGCAGUGUAGUUUUUUCCUACAUCAAAUAGCUGUUGAAAUGAGGAGAAACAUAUUGUUACUUCAGUUCCUGCUGUUUCUAUUGGGAUUUCAGUGAAAUUUUGGGAAGUGAUAGUUAAAUAAAGUGGAAUUAUUUAUAUACA
rnacentral:lncRNA from 1 species